rnacentral:rRNA from 1 species
GGCCAGCAGCCGCGGUAAAACGUAGGAGCCUAGCGUUAUCCGAAUUUACUGGGCGUAAAGCGCGUGCAGGCGGUUCGGUAAGUUGGAUGUGAAAUCUCCCGGCUCAACUGGGAGAGGUCGUUCAAUACUGUCGGACUUGAGGAUGGUAGAGGGAGGUGGAAUUCCCGGUGUAGUGGUGAAAUGCGUAGAUAUCGGGAGGAAUACCAGUGGCGAAGGCGGCCUCCUGGCCCAUUCCUGACGCUCAGACGCGAAAGCUAGGGGAGCGAACGGGAUUAGAAACCCCGGUAGUCCUAGCCGUAAACGAUGUGGACUUGGCGUUGGUGGGGUAAAAUCCAUCAGUGCCGGAGCUAACGCGGUAAGUCCACCGCCUGGGGACUACGGCCGCAAGGUUAAAACUUAAAGGAAUUGGCGGGGGA